rnacentral:rRNA from 1 species
UGGGGAAUAUUGCACAAUGGGCGCAAGCCUGAUGCAGCCAUGCCGCGUGUAUGAAGAAGGCCUUCGGGUUGUAAAGUACUUUCAGCGAGGAGGAAGGCGUUGUGGUUAAUAACCGCAGCGAUUGACGUUACUCGCAGAAGAAGCACCGGCUAACUCCGUUCCAGCAGCCGCGGUAAUACGGAGGGUGCAAGCGUUAAUCGGAAUUACUGGGUGUAAAGCGCACGCAGGCGGUCUGUCAAGUCGGAUGUGAAAUCCCCGGGCUCAACCUGGGAACUGCAUCCGAAACUGGCAGGCUAGAGUCUUGUAGAGGGGGGUAGAAUUCCAGGUGUAGCGGUGAAAUGCGUAGAGAUCUGGAGGAAUACCGGUGGCGAAGGCGGCCCCCUGGACAAAGACUGACGCUCAGGUGCGAAAGCGUGGGGAGCAAACA